UACAGAGGGUGCGAGCGUUGUUCGGAAUUAUUGGGCGUAAAGCGCGUGUAGGCGGUGAUGCAUGUCGGGUGUGAAAGCCCUCAGCUCAACUGAGGAAGUGCGCCCGAAACUGCAUCGCUGGAGUGCCGGAGAGGAAGGCGGAAUUCCCGGUGUAGAGGUGAAAUUCGUAGAUAUCGGGAGGAACACCAGUGGCGAAGGCGGCCUUCUGGACGGACACUGACGCUGAGACGCGAAAGCGUGGGGAGCAAACAGG
rnacentral:rRNA from 1 species